rnacentral:lncRNA from 1 species
CAGCAGGUUAAAGGACCAACGAGUUUGGUCUGCGUCGUGUUUACAUUUUUGCCAUGGAAAAAAAUAUUGAGAUACUGGUAUCGUCCCGGCCCUAAAUGUGACCCCACCCAGAUGUACUGUGUGUGGGCAUCCAAACCAACAGCAAUGGGGUUGCAUCCUCAACGACACCCUAUUCCCUAUGCAGGCCCUGGUCAAAAGCAGUGUACUAUAUAGGGAAUAGGGUUCCAUUUGGGAUGCAACCUAUGUGGGCUGUUAGUAAACCAACAGGACAGGAGGUAGGCCUAGUGAGGGAGGGGCCCUCCUCUGUUAGUGAACCAACAGGACAGGAGGUAGGCCUAGUGAGGGAGGGGCCCUCCUCUGUUAGUGAACCAACAGGACAGGAGGUAGGCCUAGUGAGGGAGGGGCCCUCCUCUGUUAGUGAACCAACAGGACAGGAGGUAGGCCUAGUGAGGGAGGGGCCCUCCUCUGUUAGUGAACCAACAGGACAGGAGGUAGGCCUAGUGAGGGAGGGGCCCUCCUCUGUUAGUGAACCAACAGGACAGGAGGUAGACCU